rnacentral:rRNA from 1 species
GACAGAGGAGGCAAGCGUUAUCCGGAAUUAUUGGGCGUAAAGCGCACGCAGGCGGAUCGAUAAGUCGGGGGUGAAAGCCCGGGGCUCAACCUCGGAAUUGCCUUCGAUACUGUCGGUCUCGAGUCCGGGAGAGGUGAGUGGAAUUCCUAGUGUAGAGGUGAAAUUCGUAGAUAUUAGGAAGAACACCAGUGGCGAAGGCGGCUCACUGGCCCGGUACUGACGCUCAGGUGCGAAAGCGUGGGGAGCAAACAGG